rnacentral:rRNA from 1 species
GGGAAAUUGUUGAAAGGGAAACGUUUGACACCAGUCAUGUGGGUGGAAAAUCAGUCUUUUGCAUUGGGGAGUUGUAAGGGUUCGGACCGCAAGGCCGGCUUUUGCUUCAUCUUUGGUGUAAGUGAUGCACUUUUUCAUCUACAGGUCAACAUCAGUUUCUUUUGCUGGACAAAACUCCGAGAGAAGGUAGCAGCUUAGGCUGUGUUAUAGCUCUGGAGCGAUACAGUGAAGGGGACUGAGGUUUUCGCAGCGUGUGCUCUCGGGCAAGGCUGGAUGGGUGCUAUGGGAUCGUUCGGGGUACAAUGCCUGGCAUUUUGCUUCGUGUCUUUUCUAUACUCGCUCAACUCAGCUCUUCCACGCUUAGGAUGUUGACUUAAUGGUUUUAAACGACCCGUCUUGAAACACGGACCAAGGAGUCUAACAUAUAUGCAAGUGUUUGGGUGGCAAACCCAUGCGCGUAAUGAAAGUGAACGUAGGUGCGAUCCGCAAGGUGCAGCAUCGACCGAUCUUGAUAUUUUUGGAUAGAUUUGAGUAAGAGCAUAUAUGCUGGGACCCGAAAGAUGGUGAACUAUGCCUGAAUAGGGUGAAGCCAGAGGAAACUCUGGUGGAGGCUCGUAGCGAUUCUGACGUGCAAAUCGAUCGUCAAAUUUGGGUAUAGGGGCGAAAGACUAAUCGAACCAUCU